GUCAUAAGUCAGGGGAUACCUGUACUAAAACUGGAACAAUACAGAGAAGAUUAGCAUGGCCCCUGAGGAAGGAGAACAUACAAAUUUGUGAAGCAUUCCAUACUUUU
ensembl:snRNA U6 U6 spliceosomal RNA